GUAUAACAAGUAGGAGGUGGUGAGAUAAAGCAGGUUACGUGCAAUACCGGUAUAACAGGUAGGAGGCGGUGAGAUGAAGCUGGUUACGUGCAAUACAGGUAUAACAGGUAGGAGGCGGUGAGAUAAAGCUGGUUACGUGCGAUACAGGUAUGACAGGUAGGAGGCGGUGAGAAAAAGCAGGUUAAGUGUGAUACAGGUAUAACAGGUUGGAGGCGGUGAGAUGAAGCUAGUUACGUGCGAUACAGAUGUAGAAGGCAGUCAGAUAAAGCGGGUUAUGUGCGAUACAGGUAUAACAGGUAGGAGGCGGUGAGAUAAAGCUGGUUACGUGCAAUACCGGUAUAACAGGUAGGAGGCGGUGAGAUGAAGCUGGUUACGUGCAAUACAGGCAUAACAGGUAGGAGGCGGUGAGAUAAAGCAGGUUAAGUGUGAUACAGGUAUAACAGGUAGGAGGCGGUGAGAUAAAGCUGGUUACGUGCGAUACAGGUAUGACAGGUAGGAGGCGGUGAGAUAAAGCAGGUUAAGUGUGAUACAGGUAUAACAGGUAGGAGGCGGUGAGAUGAAGCUAGUUACGGCUUAUACAGGUAUGACAGGUAGGAGGCGGUGAGAUAAAGCAGGUUAAGUGUGAUACAGGUAUAACAGGUAGGAGGCGGUGAGAUGAAGCUAGUUACGUGCGAUACAGAUGUAGAAGGCAGUCAGAUAAAGCUGGUUACGUGCGAUACAGGUAUAACAGGUAGGAGGCGGUGAGAUAAAGCUAGUUACGUGCGAUACAGGUAUGACAGGUAGGAGGCGGUGAGAUAAAGCUGGUUACGUGCGAUACAGGUAUGACAGGUAGGAGGCGGUGAGAUAAAGCUGGUUACGUGCGAUACAGGCAUAACAGGUAGGAGGCGGUGAGAUGAAGCUAGUUACGUGCGAUACAGAUAUAACAAGUAGAAGGCAGUCAGAUAAAUCAGGUUACAUGACAAGUAGGAGGUGGUGAGAUGAAGCAGGUUACAUGUGAUACAGUUAUAACAGGUAGAAGGCGGUGAGAUGAAGCUGGUUACAUGUGAUACAGUUAUAACAGGUAGAAGGCGGUGAGAUGAAGCUGGUCAUGUGCAAUACAGGUAUAACAGGUAGGAGGCGCUGAGAUGAAGCUGGUUACGUGCGAUACAGGUAUAACAGGUAGGAGGCGGUGAGAUAAAGCAGGUUACGUGCAAUACCGGUAUAACAGGUAGGAGGCGGUGAGAUGAAGCUGGUUACGUGCAAUACAGGCAUAACAGGUAGGAGGCGGUGAGAUAAAGUUGGUUACGUGAGAUGCAGGUAUAACAGGUAGGAGGCGGUGAGAUAAAGCUGGUUACGUGCGAUACAGGUAUGACAGGUAGGAGGCGGUGAGAUGAAGCUAGUUAUGUGCGAUACAGAUGUAGAAGGCAGUCAGAUAAAGCUGGUUACGUGCGAUACAGGUAUAACAGGUAGGAGGCGGUGAGAUAAAGCUGGUUACGUGCG
rnacentral:lncRNA from 1 species